CCCUAUGGGGUGCACCAGGUAAUUCGCCGAAGCGAUUUCUUCUUCCGUUGGAUGAAGAUUUCUCAGGAAAAUAUUGUUAAAAAGAAGAUGGUUGGUGUAUGCAAUAAUGAAGUUUUACUUUUGCUCCGGAUGGAUGUUGUAUUCUUUGGAUCGCAGAAUAUAGGGAUCCUCGCCACCUUCCAGGUGGUCUAUGACCGCUUUCUUAACUUCCGGACGGGCAAUCGCGCCAGAAGCGACAAUGCGUCCAGAUGUAGCUCCAGCCUUCAAAACAAUAAAUUGAUCGGAGUCGGAAGCUACAGCUACGCUGGAAUUAUGUGUCGUGAGGAUGAAUUGGCGGGAGGUC
rnacentral:rRNA from 1 species